UUUGAAAACUCAUUUUAUUUCAAUAGUACACAACAUGGGCACACUCUAGUGGGUUAUUGAUACCUCCCCACUCCAAUAUUUACUUUUUCCCUGCUAAAGUGAGUGAAACAGCUGCUUUCAUCCCAAAGUGGUGCCUGGGGUGGGCUGGAGGCCCAGCACCAGUCGCCCGGGGAGGCUGUUCCCACUCAUUGCUGAGCACUGCAGGAAAUAGGACCCCAGGAAUGUGGUCUAACCAGGUGAUGCCUCCACUCACUGGGCAAGGACCCAUGGGAUUCCCACAGGAGGUUGAAUGCUGGCUGAGGGGGGGCCUUGCUCAGCCCCUCCUUGCUCCCAGAUCAUGCUGUUGUCACCUCCCCUUCCAGCACAGGUGGCCCGCACUGAGCAAGCGAUGGGGUCCAUCCCCCUUCACAGCCUUUCUGCAGCUGAGAUACAAGCAAUGUCUUACCAAUUUCAACAAGAGAAAAAGAUUUACAAACUUUAGGAGGACUGUGCAAAAUUUGUGCCAUGGUGCAUAUGUAACAGUGAAGAAUUGGAGCUGCCAGGAUUAGUGUUUUUGUGAAGUGCAUAAAUCAGUGGGCUAAAAAACCAUUUCCCAAUUGACAGCUGUAGGAAAGCUUCCUUUUUCACAGAUCCUUUUUAAAAUUGGACAAGAUCUAUUUUAUUUUCCUCAGAUUGCUCCUCAUCCCUACUGCUCCAAACUAAUUUAGGGAAGAUAAAAUAAAAAAAAAGAGACACAUUUGGCAGAACAUUCAUGUCUGAUAGCAAACAACUUCUACCAUUGCAGGGCUGUCAUGAUGGGAACCUGCUCCCCAGCAUCCCCUCGCCAGGGCUCAGCACAGCCCAACAAGGUUAUUUUGGGCAUCUAUCAGCCUCCUGGGAAGUUGAAGGAGCUGAACAGGCUGCAGGAAAAUAUAACAGUUGUUCCUGUUUGAACACACGAACUGGCAAGGGCCACUGUUGCAGCCCUGGGGACUGCAGGUCCACUGCAGCUACAGCAUCUCAGUGGCUUUUGCAGAAAGGCUGGCAGUUAGAACAAGAUCCGCAUGAGAUGGGAAGUCCCUGAGAAAAAAGAUUAAUAAAUCUUCUGUUAUAAGAAAGGAGUUUGGUAGGAAGAAGCCCAAUGAUCUGAGAAUUACUAAUUACUUGCUUAUCAGCAAAUAAUCCCUCCCUUAGGAGAGCCAGCACUGCUAUGUAAGGAUUAGGCAGUGAAAUGCCAUACUGACAACACCAAACUAUUCAUUAGCCAAGCUCUCUCCAUUUCUCUCCACAGAUCGGCUACGAGAACCAGCCCAAGAGACAAGGAGCAAGCUCACUCUCUCUCUCGGGCUCUCCUCCCUGUUUGCAAACAGCCCUGGAGGCAGACAGGUCCUGCCUGCGGGAAGACAGUGCCACCAGACUGACCCAUCUGCCAAAGACCCAGCACCACCAAGCCCCACACCACAAAUUGAAAUAACUGUACCUGUCAGAGCUGUAAGCAGCUACCAGUCUAGGUGGAAACACCCAUAAAUAUCCAUCAAAUAGCAUAACUCAGACCAAGUGCAAGGUGCUGUACAUAGGUCAAGGCAAUCCCAAGCACAAAUACAAGCUGGCAGAGAAUGGAUUGAGAGCAGCCCUAAAAAGGACCUGGGGAUGUUGGUUGAUGAGAAGCUCAAGAUGAGCC
ensembl:lncRNA